GAUGAACGCUGGCGGCGUGCCUAGUACAUGCAAGUCGAGCGAACGGACGAGAAGCUUGCUUCUCUGAUGUUAGCGGCGGACGGGUGAGUAACACGUGGAUAACCUACCUAUAAGACUGGGAUAACUUCGGGAAACCGGAGCUAAUACCGGAUAAUAUUUUGAACCGCAUGGUUCAAAAGUGAAAGACGGUCUUGCUGUCACUUAUAGAUGGAUCCGCGCUGCAUUAGCUAGUUGGUAAGGUAACGGCUUACCAAGGCAACGAUGCAUAGCCGACCUGAGAGGAUGAUCGGCCACACUGGAACUGAGACACGGUCCAGACUCCUACGGGAGGCAGCAGUAGGGAAUCUUCCGCAAUGGGCGAAAGCCUGACGGAGCAACGCCGCGUGAGUGAUGAAGGUCUUCGGAUCGUAAAACUCUGUUAUUAGGGAAGAACAUAUGUGUAAGUAACUGUGCACAUCUUGACGGUACCUAAUCAGAAAGCCACGGCUAACUACGUG
rnacentral:rRNA from 1 species